GCGCCCGUGGCGGAAUUGGCAGACGCGCUGGAUUUAGGUUCCAGUAUCUACGGAUGUGGGAGUUCAAGUCUCCCCGGGCGCA
rnacentral:tRNA from 1 species